AUUCUGUUACAGGAGGACACAGAGUAAAGAGACACCUGCGUCAUUCCCAGACAGCUCUUCAGAAAGUUUUUGGAUGACUAAUAUGCAAAAGAAAUGCUUCUAAAUGCAUGCAGGGGUUUUAAAAGAAAUGGUUUUGCCCAUUUUUUCUCUGGAGAGAAAGACUCAAGUUAAUCAAACACAAGCGUCACCCAUCCAGGUCAAAACCUCCCCGGAGUGUUUGUGUUGGAGACGGUGGUCCCCGGCCCCCGUAGAGUUAUUACUGGUUUUUUUUCCCCCCUCACUUCGUCUGAAAUGGUUUGACCUCAAACAACAUGCAGCGACACAGAAUGAGGACAUGCUGAGCUUGUCUGGACCAACUGUGGCCUCUCUGGGGAGAGUGUUUGUCCGCCUUCUGAUAUUCUAGAGGGUGCCCUCCUAUCUAGAACAUCUGCUCUGGGCUCAGCUCUGAUGGAUAGCAUUGGCAAAAUAAAGAUAA